rnacentral:rRNA from 1 species
CACGUAGGGUGCGAGCGUUGUCCGGAAUUAUUGGGCGUAAAGAGCUCGUAGGCGGUGUGUCGCGUCGGCCGUGAAAACCUGCAGCUUAACUGUGGGCUUGCGGUCGAUACGGGCAUCACUGGAGUUCGGCAGGGGAGACUGGAAUUCCUGGUGUAGCGGUGAAAUGCGCAGAUAUCAGGAGGAACACCGGUGGCGAAGGCGGGUCUCUGGGCCGAUUCUGACGCUGAGGAGCGAAAGCGUGGGGAGCGAACAGG